UCCGUAGCAUGUUUUCUCUUUUCAGAAUUUCCCGAAACUACAGUGUAUUACUUCCGAUUUUCGUGAGGAUUUUGCUCUGCUCUCUGCAAUUACCCUUUGAGUACCAUCACUACAGAUGAAUCUGGCACCCCUGCUCUCUGAAAUAGCCCUGGUGCCUCAUGGAGAUGAAAUUCGCUGCCUUUCAGUUUCCAUUUGGUAACAGGCCCACGCACAUCAAGUCCCGUAGGCCGUUGGUUGCUCGGCCCCGUGCACAAGAGUGGCGGAUGAGAGAGGGAAACUCCACAGAAGGAUUCGGAGGCAAGAGCAGCCUGGCCUCAGUGGGAAAGGGCAGAAUACUCCUCUGGGGGAAGUCUUGUCAUGAGCAGCCCUAUGGAGAAUCCGAGCAGUGAGGCCAGCCACCAGGCAAGUGGGCUUGUAUGCAGAUCCUUCGGACCCAGCCAAGCCUGACACCUAGACUGGGACAGACCCUGAACAAGAACACCCAGCUAAGCCACUCCAGAUUCCUGAUACACAGAAACUAUGAGAUAAUAAAAGUUUGCUGUUUGAGAUGGCUA